UUACCUUUGAAUCGGCGGCUUGAGCGUGCAGGAGCAAGCGAUUGGAUCCGCGGAGAGGACAGUUUUUCCUCUGCACUCUCUUUUCCUUCGUCAUUUGAAUGACUACAGCUUUGCUCUGGUGAAUCAAAAGGAGUCGCUAGAGUUUCAUGAACCACCUGCGGAAGCUGAGGGACCAAGUUACAGAGGAGAGGGCCCCUGGGGGGCCAUAAUGAGGAAACUUGGGGAGCAGAGGAACUUACUCAGAUGAUUCAAGCCAAAACCCAUCCUGCCAUGUAGAAGGAAACUAAAGUGUGCAGUUGAGUCUGAGCUGUCCAAAUUGCACGUUGACAUUUCUCAAAUUCACAGGUGUGCAGCCAUCAUGCCAGAAGCAGAAGACAUGACGAUGAAUAACCUGUUAAGGAAUCGGAUACAGUACCAGGGCCUGGAGGUAGCGUUGUGAAGAGGGAAAUGCACUGGCUGUGGAGGAGGAAAUGUUGAUCCGUGCUGGAGCUCUCUCAACUGACUGUGGAACCACAGAAAAGUCCCUCAGCCUACCUCAUUCCAGCAUCAUCCCCUGUCCUAUUGGACUAGUAAUGUUUAAUCUACCUCCUGUGAGCAACACCAACUCUUACUGGAAGGGUCAAAUUGAAAAAUGGAUGUGAAACUGACUUGAAAACUUAACAUGAUAUACAAAUGAGGUAUCUGGGAUUAAAACAGUGGUUUGCUGUUCUGUUGAG